GAUGAACGCUAGCUACAGGCUUAACACAUGCAAGUCGAGGGGCAGCAUGAACAUAGCUUGCUAUGUUUGAUGGCGACCGGCGCACGGGUGCGUAACACGUAUCCAAUCUACCCGUUACUCUCGGAUAGCCUUCCGAAAGGGAGAUUAAUACGAGAUGGUGUUGAAAUUCCGCAUGUUAUUUCAACUAAAGAUUCAUCGGUAACGGAUGGGGAUGCGUGACAUUAGGUAGAUGGCGGGGUAACGGCCCACCAUGCCCACGAUGUCUAGGGGUUCUGAGAGGAAGGUCCCCCANACUGGAACUGAGACACGGUCCAGACUCCUACGGGAGGCAGCAGUGAGGAAUAUUGGUCAAUGGCCGGAAGGCUGAACCAGCCAAGUAGCGUGAAGGAUGAAGGUUCUAUGGAUUGUAAACUUCUUUAUACGGGAAUAAAACCGCCUACGUGUAGGUGCUUGUAUGUACCGUAUGAAUAAGCAUCGGCUAACUCCGUGCCAGCAG
rnacentral:rRNA from 1 species